GUUUUGUGACAAACACGACCACUCGUCCUGUAACAGACACCACCACUCCAAAAGCUACGACAACAGCUGGUUUUGUGAGAAACACCACCACUCCAAAAGCUACGACAACAGCUGUUUCACCCUCCACCACAAGUUCAAAUCCUGCAUUUACUCUGGUGAUGUCAUUUAAAAUUCUACUCACCUUUGACCAGAAUUUGGCUAAUUCAUCAAGAUCAAUGUUCAAAACAUUUAAAUCAGCAAUAGAACAAACUCUCAGACAAACUUACCUAAAUUUAAAUGGUUUUGUUGCGGUCAAUGUCCUUGGCUUCAGGAGUGGCAGUGUGAUUACAGACUUUGUACUGCAGACAAACAGUUUGAAUUUUACUGCAAUUG